CAGCCGCCGCGGGAAUACGUAGGGGGCAAGCGUUAUCCGGAAUUAUUGGGCGUAAAGAGUACGUAGGUGGCUAUAUAAGCGCAUGGUGAAAGGCAGAGGCUUAACCACUGUUAGCCUUGCGAACCGUAUAGCUUGAGUGCAGGAGAGGGAAGCGGAAUUCCUAGUGUAGCGGUGAAAUGCGUAGAUAUUAGGAGGAACACCAGUGGCGAAGGCGGCUUUCUGGACGACAACUGACGCUGAGGCGCGAAAGCCAGGGGAGCAAACGGGAUUAGAUACCCCUGUAGUCCCUGUCUCUUAUACA
rnacentral:rRNA from 1 species